rnacentral:rRNA from 1 species
AGCGGAGGAGGUGAGAGGGGUCAUCAUGGCGACGAGGAGGAGCAGCAGCAGCAGGCAGCUUGGGCGGAGGCAGCCGGCGUUCAGCCGCUGGUGAUGCCGGAGGACGGGUACCAGUGGAAGAAGUACGGCCAGAAGUUCAUCAAGAACAUCCAGAAAAUCAGGAGCUACUUCCGGUGCCGCGACAGGCGGUGCGGCGCCAAGAAGAAGGUGGAGUGGCAGCCGGGCGACCCCAGCGUCCGCGUCGUCUACGACGGCGCGCACCUGCACGGCUCCCCGUCGUCAUCCAACGGCGGCGGCGGCGGCCAGGACGGCGCCGCCAACCGGUACGAUCUCAGCACCCAGUACUUCGGCGGCGCGGCUCCCACGCCGCAGACGCGGUGA